rnacentral:rRNA from 1 species
AUUGAACGCUGGCGGCAGGCCUAACACAUGCAAGUCGAACGAGUGGCGGACGGGUGAGUAAUGUCUGGGAAACUGCCUGAUGGAGGGGGAUAACUACUGGAAACGGUAGCUAAUACCGCAUACCAUCGGAUGUGCCCAGAUGGGAGUAGCUAGUAGGGGGGGUAACGGCUCACCUAGGCGACGAUCCCUAGCUGGUCUGAGAGGAUGACCAGCCACAAGGGAACUGAUACACGGUCCAGACUCCUACGGGAGGCAGCAGUGGGGAAUAUUGCACACUUGGCGAAAGCCUGAUGCAGCCAUGCCGCGUGUAUUAAGAAGGCCGUCGAGUCUGAAAGUACUUUCAGCGGGGCGGCGUUACCCGCAGAAGAAGCACCGGCUAACUCCGUGCCAGCCGCCGCGGUAAUUC